AUUGAACGCUGGCGGCAGGCCUAACACAUGCAAGUCGAACGAGUGGCGGACGGGUGAGUAAUGUCUGGGAAACUGCCUGAUGGAGGGGGAUAACUACUGGAAACGGUAGCUAAUACCGCAUACCAUCAGAUGUGCCCAGAUUGGAUUAUCUUGUUGGUGGGGUAACGGCUCACAAAGGCGACGAUCCCUAGCUGUACUGAGAGGAUGACCAGCCACACUGGAACUGAGACCAGGUCCAGACUCCUAGGGGAGGCAGCAGUGGGGAAUAUUGCACAACGGGCGAAAGCCGGAUGCAGCCAUGCCGCGUGUAUGUAGAAGGCCUUCGGGUUGUAAAAUACUUUCAGCGGGGAGGCGUUACCCGCAGAAGAAGCACCGGCUAACUCCGUGCCAGCAGCCGCGGUAAAAC
rnacentral:rRNA from 1 species